ensembl:lncRNA
CAAUAGAGUUCUAGAGAGAGCCAGCACAAUAGAGCUCUAGAGAGAGCCAGCACAAUAGAGUUCUAGAGAGAGCCAGCACAAUAGAGUUCUAGAGAGAGCCAGCACAAUAGACUUCUAGAGAGAGCCAGCACAAUAGAGUUCUAGAGAGAGCCAGCACAAUAGAGUUCUAGAGAGAGCCAGCACAAUAGAGUUCUAGAGAGAGCCAGCACAAUAGAGUUCUAGAGAGAGGUGGUGCUGUGCAAGGGUUGCUGUUUUCUCUGGCAAAUGUAACAAUUCUCAAUUAACCUACAACAUACUUUCCAUAUGGUUUAUUUUCCCUUCUUUGACGAGAUCUCAACUCUAUGUCGAUAGUUUAUCUGUUCUUGCUGUGACACAGUGAGGAGGGCAAAGUUGAAGAACAUUGACCUAGAGCGCAUGAUUGUUUUUACUGAAAAGCGCCACAAAGUGCUACAAAGUGCUGCAAAGUCCUACAUGUCAAUUAGAGCUCACCUGUAAAAGAUGAUUCUCAAUUAGGAUAUAAUAUAUAUUUUGAUACUUAGCUACUUACUGUCUUAUACCCUAAUUAUGAAAUGUGAAGCGUUAUUCUUAACAUUAUCACUAUUACUGGUAUAAAAUGUUUUAAAAAAUUGGGUAUUUCAAAUGAUUUGUAGAUAUUUAAAAAAUGUAUGUGCUGUGUUGAAACAGUAUUUUACAGGAUGUGUUGUUGAUCCACAGGUUGAACCAAUAGAAACAGAAUUUUACAGGAUGUGUUGUUACAGUUGUUUUGUGGUCCAUGAGUGAGGGUGUUGUUGUACUGAGCUCUCUGGUCACCAUAGCAACACCCACCUGUAGCACACGCUCCAGCAGGUAUAUCUCACUGGUCACCCCCAAAACCAAUUCUUUCUUUGGCCGCCUCUCCUUCCAGUUCUCUGCUGCAAAUGACUGGAACGAACUACAAAAAUCUCUGGAACUGGACACACUUAUCUCCCUCACUAGCUUUAAUAAGCACCAACUGUCAGAGCAGCUCACAGAUUACUGCACCUGUACAUAGCCCAUCUAUAAUUUAGCCCAAACAACUACCUCUCCCCCUACUGUAUUUAUUUAUUUUGCUCCUUUGCACCCCAUUAUUUAUUUAUUCCACUGCAAAUCUACCAUUCCAGUGUUUUACUUGCUAUAUUGUAUUUACUUCACCACCAUGGCCUUUUUUUGCCUUUACCUCCCUUAUCUCACCUCAUUUGCUCACAUCGUAUAUAGACUUGUUUAUACUGUAUAAUUGACUGUAUGUUUGUUUUACUCCAUGUGUAACUCUGUGUCGUUGUAUGUGUCGAACUGCUUUGCUUUAUCUUGGCCAGGUCGCAAUUGUGAAUGAAAGCUUGUUCUCAACUGGCCUACCUGGUUAAAUAAAGGUGUUCUCAACUAGCCUACCUGGUUAAAUAAAGGUGUUCUCAACUGGCCUACCUGGUUAAAUACAGGUGUUCUCAACUAGCC